rnacentral:misc_RNA from 1 species
CAGAGUUCCUGCCCUCACGGGUAGAAACCCCACCCUUGUAUAUUAUAUAUUGUUGCUUUGGCGGGCCGCCCUCACGGGCACCGGCUCACGCUGGCUCGCGCCCGCCGAAGGACCCCAAACUCUUGUUUUAUACAGUAUCUUCUGAGUAACACGAUUAAAUAAAUCA